rnacentral:rRNA from 1 species
AGAGUUUGAUCCUGGCUCAGGACGAACGCUUGCGGCGUGCCUAAGAAAUGCAAGUCGAACGGGGGCUUCGGCCCCAGUGGCGAACGGUCGCGUAACACGUAAGCAACCUGCCCUGAAGUGGGGGACAACAUCCCGAAAGGGGUGCUAAUACCGCAUGUGGUCACGAGUCGGCAUCGACUUGUGUCUAAAGAUUUAUCGCUUCAGGAUGGGCUUGCGGCCUAUCAGGUAGUUGGUGGGGUAAUGGCCUACCAAGCCGACGACGGGUAGCUGGUCUGAGAGGACGAUCAGCCGGAUUGGGACUGAGAUACGGCCCAGACUCCUACGGGGGGCAGCAAUUAGGAAUCUUGCGCAAUGGGGGAAACCCUGACGCAGCGACGUCGCGUGAAGGAUGAAGGCCCUCGGGUCGUAAACUUCUUUUGAGUGGGAAGAAAUUUGACGGUACCACUCGAAUAAGCCCCGGCUAACUACGUGCCAGCAGCCGCGGUAAUACGUAGGGGGCGAGCGUUGUCCGAAGUUACUGGGCGUAAAGCGCGCGUAGGCGGUUAUUUAAGUCUGGGGUGAAAGGUUCAGCGCUCAACGUGAACAGUGCCUUGGAUACUGGAUGACUUGAGUCUGGGAGGGGGAAGGGGAAUUCCUGGUGUAGCGGUGAAAUGCGUAGAUAUCAGGAGGAACACCGGUGGCGAAGGCGCCUUCCUGGCCUAAGACUGACGCUGAGGUGCGAAAGCGUGGGGAGCAAACGGGAUUAGAUACCCCGGUAGUCCACGCCGUAAACGAUGAGUGCUAGGUGUCGGGGGUAUCGACCCCCCCGGUGCCGUCGCUAACGCAUUAAGCACUCCGCCUGGGGAGUACGGCCGCAAGGUUGAAACUCAAAGGAAUUGACGGGACCCCGCACAAGCGGUGGAGCAUGUGGAUUAAUUCGUCACUAACCGAAGAACCUUACCCAGGUUUGACAUCGAGGGUAAGACCAUGAAAGUGGUACCUCUAGCAAUAGACCCGAAGACAGGUGUUGCAUGGCUGUCGUCAGCUCGUGUCGUGAGAUGUUGGGUUAAGUCC